rnacentral:tRNA from 1 species
GCGAAGGUAUCCAAGUUCGGCCAACGGAGACGGACUUAAGAUCCGUUCCUGAAGAGGUUCGCCGGUUCGAAUCCGGCCCUUCGCA